rnacentral:rRNA from 1 species
GAUGAACGCUAGCGGCAGGCCUAACACAUGCAAGUCGAGGGGCAGCAUAGAUUGCUUGCAAUCUGAUGGCGACCGGCGAACGGGUGCGUAACGCGUAUGCAACCUACCUCUAACAGAGGGAUAGCCCGAAGAAAUUCGGAUUAAUACCUCAUAACAUUGUGAAUUGGCAUCAAUUUAUAAUUAAAACUCCGGUGGUUAGAGAUGGGCAUGCGUGACAUUAGCUAGAUGGUAAGGUAACGGCUUACCAUGGCAACGAUGUCUAGGGGGUCUGAGAGGAUGAUCCCCCACACUGGUACUGAGACACGGACCAG